rnacentral:rRNA from 1 species
GACGUAGGGCGCGAGCGUUGUCCGGAUUUAUUGGGCGUAAAGAGCUCGUAGGCGGCUUGUCACGUCGGUGUGAAAGCCCCGGGGCUUAACCCCGGGUCUGCAUUCGAUACGGGCAGGCUAGAGUGUGGUAGGGGAGAUCCGGAAUUCCUGGUGUAGCGGUGAAAUGCGCAGAUAUCAGGAGGAACACCGGUGGCGAAGGCGGAUCUCUGGGCCAUUACUGACGCUGAGGCACGAAAGCGUGGGGAGUCAAACAGG